UCUGACACAGGAAUGGCGUUAUCCCACAGA
rnacentral:piRNA from 1 species